rnacentral:rRNA from 1 species
ACGGGUGAGUAACACGUGGGAAAUCUGCCCUGCACUCUGGGACAAGCCUUGGAAACGAGGUCUAAUACCGGAUAUGACCUGCUCCUGCAUGGGGGUGGGUGGAAAGCUCCGGCGGUGCAGGAUGAUCCCGCGGCCUAUCAGCUUGUUGGUGGGGUAAUGGCCUACCAAGGCGACGACGGGUAGCCGGCCUGAGAGGGCGACCGGCCACACUGGGACUGAGACACGGCCCAGACUCCUACGGGAGGCAGCAGUGGGGAAUAUUGCACAAUGGGCGAAAGCCUGAUGCAGCGACGCCGCGUGAGGGAUGACGGCCUUCGGGUUGUAAACCUCUUUCAGCAGGGAAGAAGCGCAAGUGACGGUACCUGCAGAAGAAGCACCGGCUAACUACGUGCCAGCAGCCGCGGUAAUACGUAGGGUGCGAGCGUUGUCCGGAAUUAUUGGGCGUAAAGAGCUCGUAGGCGGCCUGUCGCGUCGGAUGUGAAAGCCCGGGGCUUAACCCCGGGUCUGCAUUCGAUACGGGCAGGCUAGAGUGUGGUAGGGGAGAUCGGAAUUCCUGGUGUAGCGGUGAAAUGCGCAGA